AUGAACGCUGGCGGCGUGCCUAAUACAUGCAAGUCGAGCGAACAGACGAGGAGCUUGCUCCUCUGACGUUAGCGGCGGACGGGUGAGUAACACGUGGAUAACCUACCUAUAAGACUGGGAUAACUUCGGGAAACCGGAGCUAAUACCGGAUAAUAUAUUGAACCGCAUGGUUCAAUAGUGAAAGACGGUUUUGCUGUCACUUAUAGAUGGAACCGCGCCGCAUUAGCUAGUUGGUAAGGUAACGGCUUACCAAGGCAACGAUGCGUAGCCGACCUGAGAGGGUGAUCGGCCACACUGGAACUGAGACACGGUCCAGACUCCUACGGGAGGCAGCAGUAGGGAAUCUUCCGCAAUGGGCGAAAGCCUGACGGAGCAACGCCGCGUGAGUGAUGAAGGUCUUCGGAUCGUAAAACUCUGUUAUUAGGGAAGAACAAAUGUGUAAGUAACUAUGCACGUCUUGACGGUACCUAAUCAGAAAGCCACGGCUAACUACGU
rnacentral:rRNA from 1 species